CGACGGCGCUGUCUUGUCUGAGUGCCCUCGGGAGAGGACGAACAUGGUUUUUAGUGCGCUACAGAGAAGGUCCGGUUGACGACACACCCAGGUGGGAGGGAAUCCCAGGGGAGAUCACUAAGGCAUGAGAAAUUGCAACACCUGCGGUGAAACGAGGAAAAUCGCUCUCCAGGGUUGUCAUCCCCUCUGGUGAAUUUUUUUUACUGUGGAAUUGGUGGAAUUGGGGGGAGGGGGCAGUUGCAUAUUUAGCAUUUAACUCUAAAUAUAUUAUAUUUUAUAUUAUUUCUGCCACUUCCUUAUUUAUUUUCUAUUUUAUAUAAACUAUAUUGAAUAAAAAUAAAUGUUUUCCAGGUGAGAUUGUCGAUUAUAGGUCAAUGACAUCUGGGAGUUUUAAAGUUGUUGAUAAUGAUUUUAAAUCAGCGGAAUAGUUCAAUUGUUUACUGAAUAUUCGAGAAAUUUGUUGAAAAAAGACGUCGAAAAUGCAGUCGUCAAAGAAAAAAAUUGUUAACAAUUAUAAAUAUCCCUAAUUAUGUAUUUUUCCCAUAAAUGUCGCACCUUCCUUUGUGUCGGUGAAUUACCUCUUCAAUUACGGGGUUUAAUUAGUCGAACCCAAAAUUACGCACUCGAAAAUUAGAACCGAAGCAAUUUCCAAUGCUCAUUAAAAAACAGAAAACGUUUUCGUUGGAUCGAACUAAAUUAAAUUGAAUUUUCAUCUCCACGACGUGAGGACAAACGUAAAAAUUAAUGAAUAGAAAUAAAAUAAUAAUUAUCCUGUGAUCUGAGCUGAUGGGGGAGAGGUAAAUCGUCAACAAUCACAACGUCAACCGUUGAAUAAUAAUUCAAUGCUUUAAGAAAGGUAAAUUCACAUACAACUGUUUAUUGAGACAUGUAGAAUACAACUUGGUUCAUACACAAAAUCUUUGACAAGUUUUUUUUUUUAAUUUUCAUGGUUUACGUUUUCAGUAAUUCUUCUCCGGGUAUUUUUCCUUCUCCACAUAAUCUAGCUACUAGCCCGGGGGGAACUCGAUUGACAAGAUUAUAAAAAAAUUUAGUUGUCAAAGGGGGUAAAAUUCUUAACAACUGUUAAAAUUUUAUUUUUCAUUAGAUUUUAUUUAGCAUCGCUCUUUCAUUUUUAUAGGUGACUAACUCAGUCAAUUUGCGUGAUUUAAUUAAUCCAACUGAUAAUUACGGGCGAAAGUGAACGGGAAAAUAAUAAGCGAAGCUAAUGUUCCCGGUGCGACUCAUGGAAAAGCAGAAGAAAAAACGUUUCAUUUAUUUAAAUAGUUGAGGAGAAAAUUGAGGCGUGCAUUGAAUUUUGAUCUCAACAACAUGAAUACCAACUUUAAAGCCAAAUAAUAAAAAAUAAAAUUGAUAAUAAUUUUAAUCAAGCCUGUCAACUCCACCAUUUAACCGCUAAAACAUAACAUCACGUUUCUUCUUCGCAAAAGAAUGCGUACUCGCAGGAAUAUAAUAUAUAAUAUAUUUAAUAUAUAGAAUUAAAAAAAGAACACUUGGUUUCACUCAUCUCAAUCAUUUAUCUGUCUCGACAUUCUCAUGUUCCAAUCGGGCCGGAGACGAGGAAAAAAAAAAGAAAAGCUGUCACAACAGUCCCGGCCCGACACAUCUUUCUCUCCUAUAUUCAAACUUCACAAUUUUGUUCUUAUUUAAUUCGCAAUGGAGAAAGGUCGGAGAGAGAAGUGGCUCUCGACGAAUGAAAAACAAAAAUUUUGAUUAAAAAUUUGCCAUUGCUGUGUACUAUCUCCCAGCUGAUGUAAGUUAGGGUCAAUUCAGCAGUAAAAAAAGGAUAAAAAUAUGUGAAUAAGGGACAAAAACACUAGUUAGGAAGGUAAAGGGCGGGCGGUAAGGGGCAUCGCCAGCCACAGUGGUGCAUUAUACGAAGUGCGACCUUUAACCCGCCGCGGGCGUCCCACUUGUCGAUGUUGUUCUUGAGUAAUGAGGAUGACAGGUGCAUGUGCGAUAAAAAUUAUGGAAACACCUGGGAAAUUUACGAAAUUGUUUAAGGAAAUUUUUCCACACUCUUUGUCCCAAAAUUCACGUUUUUCUCAUUUUUCUGGCGAAUUUAUGAUAGGAUUAACAUGAAAAACUAUAACAUUUUUACAUUUUAACAUUAUUGAACGACUCAUGAAUGUUCACAGUGCUACGAAUAUUUUCCUGCGUUUUUUUAUAAGUAAAAAAAAUACCCGAAAAUGAUUGUGCCACUUCGACAUCUCACGAACUGUUGAGUAAUAACAAAAUGCAAAAACCUUAUUUUUCUCGAAUAAAUUCGAUCGAUUGUUUGCCAGAAAAUAUUUGUUAAACCGGAAUUUGGGUUCGUCCCUUCUUCUAAGUUUUUUGCAAUUGAAUUUUUCCGGGUUUUCCACGAAUCUAUCGCACUUGAGAUGAAAUAUUAAUGAAUAUUGAUGAAUGGGAAGAGAAUGAAUGCGCAGGAGAAGAAAAACCCGAAGAAUAAUUGAAAUUUCGUUUCAAUUUUCAUUCAUCAUUUUUUUUCUCUCGUGGAACGCCCGUAAAAUGGAAAAUAACGGUCAAUUAUCAUAACGCUAUGUACCUAGAUCAGUCUAAAGUCUCGUCACCGUGAACUGCCUCAGCCACUUUGCCACUCGUGCUUCCUUGCCCCCGCAAGCCGAACAAUAUAAAUUUAGGUUUAUCGUCUAUUAAUCAGAGUCUGUUAAUUUGCCUUCUAUCAAAUAAAAUUUUGCAUUUAUUAUUAUUUCUUUUAAUUUUUUUUUGUUGAUUUCUCAUUACAAUUGCCCUCGACAAAGAUUCAAGAUUUUUUUUUCAUAAUUUUUGUUUAAAUUUUAACUUUCAUUUUUCCCUUUUUUCGUAAAUUAAUCCCUUAUAUGAUUUUUGUUAUCUUAAUUUACCUCAGGUAUUUUUCCCUCGCAUUGAUUUUUUUUUUCAUUUUAAUAAUCGUUUUCAUACGGAAAUAUUUAUCAAGUUCACAAAAACCCACUCAGUAAUUGAUUAGCAAUAGCAUCCUUAUUAUAUUGUUAAUAUUAAUAUUAUAUCCUCGAUAUUAUGCUUUUAUAAAUAGGGUAAAGGGAUUUUAAGGAUUAAAAAGUUGAAAAAAUAAAGGAUUAUUGGAGGAGGGAGAGGGGGCGGGGGUUUCAGGGGAUAGGCUAAGGGUUUUGGGAUUUUUCUCUCGGAUAAUAUAAGCUGAUUAAAUGUUAAUGAAAUAAAGAAAAUAAUAAAGAAAACAUUUUCCACGAAAAAAUUACAGAUCUUGUACAUUGAUUAUUGAAAGAAAAAAAACUUGAAGACAAAUAAUAAUUAUUAAGGCAGAGACGCAGGGGAUAUCAUAUGAUUUUUCCAUUUCUUCUUUGCGGGGGAUUAUUAAAUUCAAUUAUUAAAACUAGCUGCGAUCUAACCCCCUUCCAUAUUCACCAUCAAUCAUCCUUUCUCCUCUCAUCGGGUCUUUUUUUUUUGCUACAGCGUGAACGAAUAAUCGCGGUUGGGGGUAUAAACAAGAUUAGAGUUAAGUAAAACAUGAAUAAAAAGUAACAAAAAAAAAUGCUCAUAAAUAGAAGGGUCUGCGAGCUAUCGAUCUUUCAUAUUCAUAUUUUUAAAACCAGACAUUUUUCGUCCAAAAUCAAUUGAUCAACUAUAUUUCAUACGCAUGUGUAAUCGAAUUCAUCAUCUCUGUCUCACGAUGCAAGCCCUAGUCGCGAUUAUCUUCAUCCAUUGAUUUAUAUUUUUUUCGUCAUUGGUUAUUACUAUAAUUAUUAUUUUUUUUUUAUAAUUAUUCGUGGCCGAUUAUUUUCCUCAUUACAACGAAAAAAAAAAUUCUUUCCUCACUUGUCAAUUGUGCUGAGUUCAUUACAGAUGGUGGUCUGAUUGUAUCGGCAUUCGAUUUUUUCUUUCUUUUUUUUCCAUGGUUUUUGCCCUUUUUAAUUUUUUUUUUCGAUUUUUGUUUUUCGCUUUUUUUUUCUUAUAAAGUUCCAGUGAAAAGGGAGGCUUGGAGGUUUUCAUAUAAAUCUGAGGUGCUAGUUUAUUCUGUGACAAAACAAUGUCUGCAGCUUUUCAUACGAUUGUCAGCUAUUUCAACUCCAUUUUAAAAAUUGUCUUUCCAU